AAUGAACGCUGGCGGCGUGCCUAACACAUGCAAGUCGAACGAGAAAAGCCUUCGGGCUUAGUACAGUGGCGAACGGGUGAGUAACGCGUGGGAAUCUACCCUUUUGUGGAGAAUACCCUCGAGAAAUCGAGGUUAAUACUGCAUAAGCUCCUACGGGAGGAAAGAUGGCUUAAUUGCUGUCGCUGAAGGAUGAGCAUGCGUACUAUUAGCUAGUUGGUAGGGUAAUGGCCUACCAAGGCAAGGAUGGUUAGCCGGGCUGAGAGGGUGAACGGCCACAUUGGAACUGAGACACGGUCCAGACUCCUACGGGAGGCAGCAGUGGGGAAUAUUGCGCAAUGGGCGAAAGCCUGACGCAGCGACGCCGCGUGGAGGAUGAAGGCCUUCGGGUUGUAAACUUCUGUUAAGUGGGAGGAAAUGCGUACGUUUAAUAGACGUACGAGCUGACAGUACCACUAGAGAAAGCACUGGCUAAUCUCGUGCCAGCAGCCGCGGUAA
rnacentral:rRNA from 1 species